rnacentral:lncRNA from 1 species
UGGGGCUUAGUUCCAGGAAUAAUACUGUCACUCCAUCUAUUGGACAUUGCGAGCAUCCUCUGAGAAUUAAGUUGCAUCGGUUUUUCUUCUGUUAUAUGCUCCAGAUAUUGAUGCUCGUAGACGGAGAAAACAUAUGCAUAAGAAGCAUAGCUCAUGUUCUGCCAAAAUGUCAUAUGAAUGUUACUUGUCAUAUUUCCAUGAGCUUUUGUCUUUUGCACAUCCUAAAAUUUCUUUAUCAGUCCAUUGUAAUUGUCUGACUGUCGGUUCCAAAAGAAUACAGACUGCACAGGCUACAAUAUUUUUGUGGUGUUGUAUUACUUUGAUGUGUUGGACAUUUAUUCCUUGCAGAUCAAAAACAAUCCCUCGGACAAUAUGGAUGACGUGCACUCAAGUAAUGAUGAUCAUAACGUACCUGUUGUUUGCUUCUGCAAUUGAUGGUAUCCUUUACGCCGCAACAGCAUUACUUGGGAUCUGCUAUGGAGUUCAGUUCUCGAUAAUGAUACCGACUGUCUCUGAGCUUUUCGGCUUGAAGCAUUUU